rnacentral:rRNA from 1 species
AAAUAGAACUUUGCAGAGAGAGUUAAGAGGGCGUGAACCGUUAAUUGGCAAACGAAUCGGAGCCACGAAGUCGUUUCGUCGAUAGUUUGGCUGAGUUCAGUGUUUAUGAAGUUGUACAAAUUUCGUAAGCGCGUACUCUCAAGUUGAACCAUCUUUGUAAGCGUACACUGCAACUAGUUAGACGAUUGUUAAUGGGCCCAGUGGGCUUAGAGUAACGCAAGUUACGCUAUGUUCACGCAGCAUUUGUUUAUUGCGAGAGGUAGUAAAUUGGCCCCGUGAAUGCGGGUGUCUAGUUUGCUGGCUCGUAGUAAGUGAGCUAUUGACAAAUACUGACUAGCACAAUGAAAAUCACCUUCGUAUGAAGUGUGUUGUAUAGACAAAGCGCUGGCAGCGCGUACUAUUACGUAGUUGGCGCGUAAGUUUUUAAAGUUCAGUGCUUUUGAAUUUAGACUUGCAUGCUAUCAACGGGGCAACUCUUGGUGCAUGUAUAGCUUCUAUCUAAUCGGGUAUUGACUUGGCUUGCGUGAAAGUCAGCUACGAAUCGUUUGAUGGUACGCGUUAGUUAGUUGCAAUUUGAAUUGGCAGUGAGUAGGUCGGCUUUCCGAACGACCCGUCUUGAAACACGGACCAAGGAGUCUAAUUAGGCAUCGAGUCGAUCGGUCUUGAUAGGCCAGCUUGUGAGCGCAGCUUUACUGCUUGUGCUGAUCAGAAGGCGUAGAGAAAUCAAAUUUCAUGUGAUCUUGUGGCAAAUACCCCUGCUGCAAGCGCAACAUGUGCCUGCUCGUGUGCCAUUGUUGCAACGUUAAUGUUAAGAUUAAACGUCUUGGCUGUUGUUAACAUGGUGGGCGGAGUAAAGAGAUGCUUGACUGGUACCCGAAAGAUGGUGAACUAUGCUUGGGCAAAUUGAAGCCAGAGGAAACUCUGGUGGAGGAUUGUAGCGAUUCUGACGUGCAAAUCGAUCGUCAGACCUGAGUAUAGGGGCGAAAGACUAAUCGAACCAUC